UCGAGAUUAAUACUAUGAAGCAAGACAGGCAAUGGCAAUUACUUGGAAUUUGCUUCAAGUUGGAAUUAAACAAUGGAAUUUGAUUAAUACAUGCAGGGAAAGAUUUAUCCUGCCUAGGUAUGCUAAUAUUGCAGUACAUAUCUCAACUUAUUUUUGCAUAUAGAACACUCUCCUUGGUAUUCAAAAUAUACAAAAAUAAUCAAUGAAGAGGACGACCCAUUUGCUAGAAGGUAGAGAUAUUACACUUGAAGUGUUUUUCACUCAUAAUUCUAGCAGGAGAAGACUUUCCUUUUGCCCUCCUAUUAAUGACAGAACUGUGGCUGCAAUGUG
rnacentral:misc_RNA from 1 species